CUGGUAAGCAGCUCCACUCCUCUACCAGGCAGCUGUGUGUCUGAGACAGAGGAGGCGUAACCAGGGCCACACUAGAAUGUAGAACAGGGGCGUGGCCUUCAUGCUCCAAUCCCAUUGGUCAUGAGAAAGAUGAAAGGAAAGGAGGCGUGGCUAGGCAGCUCCAGAGAGACCUGUGGCAUCCCAAGGAAAGCUGCUCCUGCAACUCCUGUCCCCGCCCACUCUGAGAGGGGAGGGGCCACCCACUCCGGGAGAGCGGAAGGGCUGACUUUUGCCUUUGAACUUUUACAUAUACCAGAGCCUGCAGCCCAGUGUUUGGAAAAAAGCAAUUCACAUUACAUUGAGCAUCUAUUAUGCAGCAGACUGAGUGCCGUUCCAGCUGAUGGUGAUGUGACAAUGAGUAAGAUUAGCACGGAUACCUCCUGCUGUCACACGGCUUAUGAUCUAGUGAAGAGACGGACACUAAAACAGUAAGGAAACCGAGGCUCAGAGAUGUCACAAAAGUGCCAAAGACUGCCCAGAAAGAACGGAGAGCUCACUACCUUCAAGGCUGACCGUCCUCUCUUCUGUGCCGGGCACUGGGAACACUGAUGAUGCAGAUCCAUCUGUAACCUACUGGGACUCUCACGCUGCUCACUUAGCUGGAGCAACAGGCGAGAAAAUGAGGGUUGCAGGUGCGCCAAAGGCACAGGGAUGAGAGCGGCCAGUUCUCCACGGACCUACACCCCCAGCUACCUCUCCUCCGGGAUCUUACAUGCAAAGGGAUUAAAUUCCAGGAUCUUGGAGAUGUCUGCAGUCCAGCUGCCUCCUUGCUUUUGCUUUCACUUGAGAAUCAGCCAAGGUUCCCCAAGCAUCUGCUCCAUGCCAGGUCCUUCAUGGCACUUUGCCCCACUUAGUCCUCACAGCUUGCUGGGAAAGUGAUGUGCUAUUGCCCACUGGGCAGAUGGGGACAGAGGCACGGGAGGUCACUUGCCCAGGAUGACACCUCUAGUCAUUUGCAGAGUUGGAUCUGGCCUCAAGCUUGCUGGGGGCUCUUGGAGCCCAUGAAGAAUUGACCAGGGCAACACAUGACACUCCAACUUGGCACCAAUGCCUGUGCUUCCCUCAAAGGGCCUGGGCCUGGCCGGGUGCGGUGGCUCAUGCCUGUAAGCCCAGCACUUUGGGAGGCUGAGGCAGAUGGAUCAUGAGGUCAGAAGAUUGAGACCAUCCUGACCAUGGUGAAACCCCGUCUCUACUAAAAUACAAAAAAUCAGCCAGGCGUGGUGGCAGCCCACACCUGUCAUCCCAGCUACUCGGGAGGCUGAGGCAGGGGAAUUGCUUGAACCCAGGAGACAGAGGUUGCAGUGAGCCAAGAUCUCGUCACUACACUCCAGCCUGGGCAACAGAGCAAGACUCCAUCUCGAAAAAAAAAAAAAAAAAAAAGGCCCUGGGCAGAACCAAGCCGAAAGCUGCUAAGGCUCAGGACAGACUGUGAAGUCAGGAGUCUGACUCCAGCCUGCUCCAUCACGUGCUUCCUUCCUGGCU
rnacentral:lncRNA from 13 species